rnacentral:rRNA from 1 species
UACAGAGGGUGCAAGCGUUGUUCGGAAUUAUUGGGCGUAAAGGGCGCGUAGGCGGCGCCACAAGUCACUUGUGAAAACUCUGGGCUCAACCCAGAGCCUGCAGGCGAAACUGUGGUGCUGGAGUAUGGGAGAGGUGCGUGGAAUUCCCGGUGUAGUGGUGAAAUGCGUAGAGAUCGGGAAGAACACCAGUGGCGAAGGCGGCCGGCUGGGGGCGCCCUGACGCUGAGGCGCGAGAGCGUGGGGAGCAAACCGG